rnacentral:rRNA from 1 species
UAAGGAAUAUUGGACAAUGGCCGCAAGGCUGAUCCAGCCAUGCCGCGUGCAGGAUGACAGAGCUCUGCUCCGUAAACUGCUUUUACACGGGAAAAAACCCCUGCUUUCUAGCGGGGCUGAUUGUACUGUGAGAAUAAGGGACGGCUAACUUCGUGCCAGCAGCCGCGGUAAUACGAAGGUCCCAAGCGUUAUCCGGAUUUAUUGGGUUUAAAGGGUGCGUAGGCGGCUUAUUAAGUCAGUGGUGAAAGCUCCAUGCUUAACAUGGAAAUUGCCAUUGAUACUGAUGAGCUUGAGUAUAUUUGAAGUGGGCGGAAUGUGUCGUGUAGCGGUGAAAUGCUUAGAUAUGACACAGAACACCGAUUGCGUAGGCAGCUCACUAAACUAUAACUGACGCUGAGGCACGAAAGCAUGGGGAUCAAACAGGAUUAGAUACCCCCGUAGUCC